rnacentral:rRNA from 1 species
UGACGGAGGGGGCUAGCGUUUGUUUCGGGAAUUACUGGGCGGUAAAGCGGCACGUAGGCGGCUUUGAUAAUGUUAGAGGUAGAAAAGCCCGGGGCUCAACUCCGGAAUUGCCUUUAGACUGCGAUCGCUAGAAUUGUGGAAGAGGUAAGCGGAAUUCCUGGUGUAGCGGUGAAAUGCGUAGAUAUCAGGAGGAACACCGGCGGUGUAGACGGCUUUCUGGACCGUAGCUGACGCUGGAGACACGAAAGCGUGGGUAGCAA